CNCAAGGGCAUGUCUUGGAUGACUCCAGA
rnacentral:piRNA from 1 species